rnacentral:rRNA from 1 species
AGAGUUUGAUUCUGGCUCAGGAUGAACGCUAGCGGCAGGCCUAAUACAUGCAAGUCGAGGGGCAGCAGGGGUAGCAAUACUCGCUGGCGACCCGCGCACGGGUGCGUAACACGUAUGCAACUUUCCUUCAACUGGAAGAUAGCCCGAAGAAAUUCGGAUUAAUAUUCCAUAGUUAUAUGAAAUGGCAUCAUUUUAUAUUUAAAGCUCAGGCGGUUGAAGAUGGGCAUGCGUUCGAUUAGCUAGUUGGUGAGGUAAUGGCUCACCAAGGCUACGAUCGAUAGGGGAUCUGAGAGGAUUAACCCCCACACUGGUACUGAGACACGGACCAGACUCCUACGGGAGGCAGCAGUAAGGAAUAUUGGACAAUGGAGGCAACUCUGAUCCAGCCAUGCCGCGUGAAGGAUGAAGGUCCUAUGGAUUGUAAACUUCUUUUGAACGGGAGAAAACCUUCGGUCGUGUACCGAAGCUGAUAGUACCGUUAGAAUAAGGGUCGGCUAACUUCGUGCCAGCAGCCGCGGUAAUACGAAGGACCCGAGCGUUAUCCGGAUUUAUUGGGUUUAAAGGGUGCGUAGGCGGAAUGGUAAGUCAGUGGUGAAAUCUUGUGGCUUAACUGCAAAACUGCCAUUGAUACUGCCAAUCUUGAGUACAUUUGAUGUGGGCGGAAUGUGCCAUGUAGUGGUGAAAUACUUAGAUAUGGCACAGAACACCGAUCGCGAAGGCAGCUCACAAAACUGUUACUGACGCUGAGGCACGAAAGCGUGGGGAUCAAACAGGAUUAGAUACCCUGGUAGUCCACGCCUUAAACUAUGAUUACUCGAUGUGUGCGAUACACAGUACGCGUCUAAGCGAAGGCGUUAAGUAAUCCACCUGGGGAGUACGGUCGCAAGAUUGAAACUCAAAGAAAUUGACGGGGGCCCGCACAAGCGGAGGAGCAUGUGGUUUAAUUCGAUGAUACGCGAGGAACCUUACCUGGGCUUGAAAGUUAGUGAAUGCUGUGGAAACAUGGCAGGCCGCAAGGACACGAAACUAGGUGCUGCAUGGCUGUCGUCAGCUCGUGCCGUGAGUGUUGGGUUAAGUCCCGCAACGAGCGCAACCCCUAUCUUUAGUUGCCAGCGAGUAAUGUCGGGGACUCUAAAGAAACUGCCCGUGCAAACGGUGAGGAAGGUGGGGAUGACGUCAAGUCAGCACGGCCCUUACGUCCAGGGCUACACACGUGCUACAAUGGCGAGUACAGAGGGCAGCUACAUGGUGACAUGAUGCUAACCUCUAAAACUCGUCUCAGUUCGGAUUGAAGUCUGCAAUUCGACUUCAUGAAGCUGGAUUCGCUAGUAUCGAAUAUCAGCAAUGAUUCGGUGAAUACGUUCCCGGGCCUUGUACACACCGCCCGUCGAACAAUGGAAGCUGAGGGUACUUAAAGUCGAUAACCGCAAGGAGUCGCCUAGGGUAAAAUCGGUAACUGGUGUUAAGUCGUAACAAGGUA